CAGCUCGUGCCGUGAGGUGUAUGGUUAAGUCCCGCAACGAGCGCAACCCUGCCCCUAGUUGCUAACCGCGAGGUCGCACUCUAGGGGGACUGCCUCCGUCAAGGAGGAGGAGGGUGGGAUGAUGUCAAGUCAUCAUGGUCCUUAUGCCCAGGGCUACACACGUCCUACAGUGGCCGUUACAAUGGGAAGCUACAUCGCGAGGUGAUGCCAAUCCUGUAAAAGCGGCCAUGGUUCGGAUUGCAGGCUGCAACUCGCCUGCAUGAAGAUGGAAUCGCUAGUAAUCACUGAUCAGCAUGCAGUGGUGAAUACGUUCCCGGGUCUU
rnacentral:rRNA from 1 species